GUUUGCCACUACGACAAUUAAUGUGGACGGACGCACCUUUGCGGCAGGUGAAAAAAUUACCAAAAAGGACAGAAGAACGUCUUCUGCUAGAACCCCCCCCAUGACCCUAUUGUGGACAAGCUUCAUCGAACAAAGUCUGCAGACUCCAAGGGUCCACUAUCCAAUAAUUGCAGAUUCUUCUCACAGACAAGGUCUCAUCCCCUCAUCGUCAUCCUUCAAACUCCAGGAGUAUUCAACAAAGGGUGGAAACAACAUGUAAACUCCAAGCAGGAUGUCCUGAGCUGAGAUUCAAACCAGCAACCUCUCGACCAUGAGGCAAGGUCACGUUUCCACACAAGCAAAACAAACUGGCAGGAUCUCGUCUCAUCUCAUCUCAUCCCAUCUCAAGACGAAGCUUUCCUGAAGAUAUAAAUCAAUCUCGCCAACUUUCACCGGGAUCAGACAUUUUACGACCUGGAGAGACAAGCAAGAACCACCAGUCCAGUGUCAAACCAUGACCAAAUUGCAGCUGUCAAACUCUAUCUAUCUGGCAGGCUCUAUCUUUUUACAGUGUCUCACAAUUUCUCAUCCUCGUCACCGGAAGUUAAAUGUGGCGCCUCAUGCUAAAAACCUCUGAGAAUCUGAAAAACAGAAUGCUGAAGUGAUGAAUCCAGACAUUUUUGCAUCCACAAAGAGCAACAUCAAUUCCAUCAAGCAUCAUUAAAAUCCAUCCAUCCAUUUUCAGAGCCACAUAUCCUCACAAUGGUCCUAGGAGGAUCAUUAAAAUAUGCUCCAAGUUAAGGACCUCUGCUCCUUUUGGACAACAGAUGGUCCAGAGAGUGAAGAAAAUUGCAAAACAACUCUACAUUGUGAUGAAUUUUCCAUAAGGCGUUCAUGUUGGCAGUAUUAUGUGCCAGUCCAGCAAGCAAACCUCAACACUAACUCUUUUAUGUCUUCUGGUUGUCGUUGUUGUCGUGAUUCCAUAAAGUAUUACUGUUUGUGUGCAUGUCUGUAUCUCUCUCUAUCCAUAUACAGUAUGUAUAUGGAUAUAUAUCGUACAUAUGUGUAUGUAUCUGUAUAUAUAUUCCUUUUUGUUGUUGCUGUUUUACAUUGACAGGCUGAUUUGCAAAACUGAAUUGCAUUUCUGGACUCGUAAAUAAUCUGAAUCUGAAUCAUGGCCCCAGGUGGGAUUGGUUGUCUUUCUUUCUAACACAUUUUAUAUUUAAUACAGACCCGUGACAUAAAAUUUUAUGUGAAAUCCUUGUG